UUAGGACGAACGCUGGCGGCGUGCCUAAUACAUGCAAGUCGAACGGUCUUUCUAUGGAAGCUUGCUUCCACUGAGAAGAUAGUGGCGAACGGGUGAGUAACACGUGGGUAACCUGCCCAUAAGAGGGGGAUAACAUCCGGAAACGGGUGCUAAUACCGCAUAGUUUUCUUGAUCGCAUGAUCGGGAAGGGAAAGACGGCCUUUGUGCUGUCGCUUAUGGAUGGACCCGCGGCGUAUUAGUUAGUUGGUGAGGUAACGGCUCACCAAGACGAUGAUACGUAGCCGACCUGAGAGGGUGAUCGGCCACAUUGGGACUGAGACACGGCCCAAACUCCUACGGGAGGCAGCAGUAGGGAAUCUUCCGCAAUGGACGAAAGUCUGACGGAGCAACGCCGCGUGAGUGAAAGAAGGUUUUCGGAUCGUAAAACUCUGUUGUCAGAGAAGAACAAGUUGGAGAGUAACUGCUCCAGCCUUGACGGUAUCUGACCAGAAAGCCACGGCUAACUACGUGCCAGCCGCCGC
rnacentral:rRNA from 1 species